CCUACGGGUGGCUGCAGUGGGGAAUAUUGCACAAUGGGGUAAACCCUGAUGCAGCGACGCCGCGUGAGUGAGGACGUAUUUAGGUAUGUUAAGCUCUAUCAGCAGGGGAGAAAAUGCCGGUACCUGACUCAGAAGCCCCGGGUAACUACGUGCCAGCAGCCGCGGUAACACUUCGGGGGCAAGCGUUAUCCGGAUUUAUUGGGGGUAAAGGGGGCGUAGGUGGCUUGUAAAGUCAGAAGUGAAAGCCCAGGGCUCAACCUUGGGACUGCGUUUGAUACUGAGUGGCUAGAGUGCAGGAGCGGUAAGCGGAAUUUCUGGUGUAGCGGUGAAAUGCGUAGAUAUUAGGAGGAACACCAGUGGCGAAGGCGGCUUACUAGACU
rnacentral:rRNA from 1 species